rnacentral:rRNA from 1 species
GACGAACGCUGGCGGCGUGCUUAACACAUGCAAGUCGAACGGAAAGGCCCUGCUUUUGUGGGGUGCUCGAGUGGCGAACGGGUGAGUAACACGUGAGUAACCUGCCCUUGACUUUGGGAUAACUUCAGGAAACUGGGGCUAAUACCGUAUAGGAGCUCCUGCUGCAUGGUGGGGGUUGGAAAGUUUCGGCGGGUGGGGAUGGACGCGCGGCUUAUCAGCUUGUUGGUGGGGUAGUGGCUUACCAAGGCUUUGACGGGUAGCCGGCCUGAGAGGGUGAACGGCGACAUUGGGCCUGAGAUACGGACCAGACUCCUACGGGAGGCAGCAGUGGGGAAUAUUGCACAAUGGGCGGACGCGUGAUGCAGCAACGCCGCGUGCGGGAUGACGGCCUUCGGGUUGUAAACAGCUUUCGCCUGUGACGAAGCGUGAGUGACGGUAAUGGGUAAAGAAGCACCGGCUAACUACGUG